AAGGAAAAAUUAAUUUCGUAGCUGCGUUAGCGUAAUGGCUAACGUGGCAGACUUUGUUCAAGUCUUCUCCCAAUUUUACACGAACGGUCGUAGGUUCGAAUCUUUGAGACCCUCGUUUGGAAUUUUUAUAUUGAACAAAGUAUGUCAUGCAAUUGAAAUUUAUAUUCAUAGUGCAUAUUCGUAUAAUUUAUUCCUCGAGGUUCAUACAGUGAUGAGUUUAAACAGUUUACACCCCGAGUCUGGUCGAUCGAACUUCAAUUUCUGGGGAUCUCGUCCAGACUAUGAAAAAAGUAAACGUGUAGAGUCAUAGUUACGCUGAGUAUGAACUUCUUCUUUUUAA